GCGCAAUUGGCCUUCCCUUCCGAGCCCGGAAAUGCCAAAACAUUGAGAUCCAACUCCAUGCUUCGCUCCUUGGGCCUCUCCCAGGUCUUCUUCAUCGUCUUCCUGUUCAGAAGUUUUGAACUCAAACUAACUCACUUGCAAGUCCAAGCACUGCUCCCAAUCCAGUGGCAGAGGAUCAUUGAGCUGGAGAUCAAUGUUGCUACUUUGGCUCACUGGAUCACUACUCCAUGUCAGUUGUUGCUUUCUCAGAUCCAAUUCCUUUCGCGACAUCGAUCGAGGUGGGCCAAGUGAAAGCUCUGUGUGCUCCAUGGCCAGUUUGAUCCAAAUAGAAUCAGAGUUGGAGAGGAUCCCAUGCUGCAUGCUCAGUUCAUCCCAUGUCAGCUGCAUACUUGUGAAACUACAGUGUAUUAACUCUCAUGGAGUAAUGAAUUGCUUCCAGUGGGUGGGCAUUCAUGAGCAGGCUCUCAUGGAAUUUAAUUCUGCUUAUGAAAUGAGAAGGAAAAAAAAAUGCGAAGUAGAUAAAAUGGUGGAGGGAAGGGACGCUCGCAAAGCAAACCUCCUCAACCAUCUCCACGCAAUGCCAGGGCAAAUUAAUGUGGUGGGCUGUGGCUUCUACGAGCUCACCAGUGCCAACAACUGCAAUUAAUCAUGGAGCUUGCCUCACUCUCUGGCCAUGAAGGCUCCAAGGCAUUCAAUGUUCGAUGACGCCAUUAACGCCAGUGGAUUUAAUGCUGCAACAGCCGACAACUUCUAUGCUGGAAGAUACUUGCAAAACGAUUGGAACAGGGCAUAUUAAAAGAUUAGAAACUUACAAGUGAGUGUUUUAGGGAAAGAAGAAGACCCUCAGUGUGCUCUAGAAUUCACCAAACAAUCGAGUUGGACUUAGAGACAUGAUAAGAGGAAUAAGACAGUGUCUGUUUUGUUCAAAAAGGAUCCAAGGAAAAUCAUUGUUAAAAGAAAAUUCAUUAUGCUUGAUGGUUCCUCCUAUUGAUAUGGUAAGGUGUUUUUCUAUAUCGCGCCGUGUCUGCCUCAUCGACAUCUUUCUGAACCGGAGCAUGCUCGCCUUUCUUGAAGGAGCUAUCGUCCGAAGGCCUUCGCCCGAAGAAAUGCCAUGGAGAAGUAAAGAGGUGGUCAUACAAAACCAAGCAAAGAACAAAGGCUAGUUGGAUCUUCUACCAUCCUAAUACACGCCAUUUUCACAUAGCACAUAAAACAAGUUUGUCAAAAGGCCUAAACUUGCUAGUUUCUCGAAAGGAAUACACCAGGAACAAACAAGAAUGUUGGCUGGUAUCUUAGGCCUAGUGUGAGGUUGGAAGGAUCCAAUUCCAAGCGAUGUAGGGCCGCUAAAACAACUCAUGGAUAUUCUUCCUUUUUUAUCACUCGGCCGACAAUAAAAUAGGGAUGUCAAUUUAGAUGGUUCAGAUAGAGUUG